UACGAAGGGGGCUAGCGUUGUUCGGAAUUACUGGGCGUAAAGCGCGUGUAGGCGGGUGUUUAAGUCAGGGGUGAAAUGCCAAGGCUCAACCUUGGAACUGCCUUUGAUACUGGAGAUCUUGAGUCCGGGAGAGGUGAGUGGAACUGCGAGUGUAGAGGUGAAAUUCGUAGAUAUUCGCAAGAACACCAGUGGCGAAGGCGGCUCACUGGCCCGGAACUGACGCUGAGACGCGAAAGCGUGGGGAGCAAACAGGG
rnacentral:rRNA from 1 species